rfam:Hordeum vulgare subsp. vulgare, WGS project CAJW01000000 data, contig: morex_contig_40203
UUUCUACUCCCUCCGUCUCAAAAUUAUUGUCUUAGAUUUGUUUAGAAAUAGAUGUAUAUAAAUACUAAAACGUGACUAGAUACAUUCAUAUCUAGACAAACCUACGAUAAGAAUUUUAAGAUGAAGGGAGUAUUUG